CUGAGAAUAUAAAGAAAAAUAAGAUAUGGAGGAAUUCUGCCCUCAAGCAUGCUAGUGUCUAUUUGGGAAAAACAGACAAAUAAAUAAUACAUCAAGAAAAAGCAGCAAGCCCCAUGCGAUAGUCUCAGCUCAAAUGUCAGCUCUUCAUAGAGGACUCCUCAGAUGACUGUUCUAAAGUAUUUCCUUUUCCCAGUCAUUGUCUCUAAAACAAAGCUAGAUUCAAAAUGGUCUUCACUAUCUGAAAUUAUCUUACCUAUGUGUUUGCUUGUGUAAUAAUCUACUCUGUCCUGCACCAGAGUGAAAGCUCCACUCUAGCAGAAACCUACCUUCUUUGUCUAUAGACAAAUCUCCAGGGCCUGGAAGUCUACCUGGCACUGUUAUGUAGUAGGCAUAUAACAAAUAGUUAUUGAAUGACCCAAUCAAUCAUUCAGUCCAAGAUUAUAAUAUCAACCAGAUAUGUGCCUUCAUGUUAUUUUGUCAUGAGGAACAAAACUUUCUCUACAUAGUAAAAUAAACUAAUCAAUCAUGUGGAUGCU
ensembl:lncRNA novel transcript